rnacentral:rRNA from 1 species
GAUGAACGCUGGCGGCGUGCCUAAUACAUGCAAGUCGAGCGAACAGACGAGGAGCUUGCUCCUCUGACUUUAGCGGCGGUCGGGUGAGUAACACGUGGAUAACCUACCUAUAAGACUGUGAUAACUUCGGGAAACCUGAGCUAAUACCGGAUAAUAUAUUGAACCUCAUGGUUCAAUAGUCAAAGACGCUUUUGCUGUCACUUAUUGAUGGAUCCGCGCCGCAUUAGCUAGUUGGUAAGGUAACGGCUUACCAAGGCAACGAUGCGUAGCCGACCUGAGAGGGUGGACGAGCAGACUGGAAGUGAGAAACGGUAGAGACACCUACAGGAGGAAGCAGUAGGGAAUCUUCCGCGAUGGGGGAAAGCCUGACGGAGCAAAGCCGCGUGAGUGAUGAAGGUCUUAGGAUCGUAAAACUCUGUUAUUAGGGAAAAACAAAUGUGUAAGUAACGAUGCACGUCUUGACGGUACCUAAUCAGAAAGCCACGGCUAACUACGUG